UUUUGAUUCAAUUUGUGGAGUCCAGGAGAUUAUAUAGAUUAGACACAUGUGUCAACCCGCCAAACAAUAUCUAGAAUUCAUCAAAAGAUGUCAGUAACCUAGGUCGUUGAGCUGUUGAUUGAAGCCCGCGGUCAUCGGAGGUUGCAAUGGCGUGGCGUUAUACUGCUGAUGGUGUGGCAAAUUGUGUGUGGGAGCAACCAACAUCCACAUUUUAGCCAUCGGCAAGUCCUCCGCUUGUGUCCUACCGUUCUUCAGGCGUCAUGAGGCUUCUUGUUGUUCAUCCUCAUAACAGAACAACAUUUCUAAAUGCGGGAAUCCUGUUUGGUCAACAUC
rnacentral:lncRNA from 1 species